rnacentral:lncRNA from 1 species
GAUUUGCAUUUAUUCUAUUCGAGCAAACAUAUUGACGAGCGAUGUCUCUGGUAGACAUAGAAAAUCGGUGACUAAGGUGCUAGGAGGGAAAUUCAUUACAACAUGUGGCAGGUCAUAGAGUAGAACGCCGAAAAAUUUGAAGUUUUAAACCCAUUUGACAAUGGUAAAUUGGUUAAUGAAAGUGCAGAUUUGGAUCAAUAAACAAAAGUAUUAAACAUUUUUUUUUAUUGUACACAAAAAAAAAAAAAAGAAAACAAAAGAAACAGAUAAAAGAAAGAAAAAUGGAGAGAACAGAAGAAGGAAGCUAGGCUGCGUCGUUUAGCAGAACCUGCUGGAGACGAGCGGUGGGCUCCGACCACACCUCUUCUUCUUCACACUGAGCUCCAUGAUUUGCCAGGAAACCCGCAGCCCAAUUAGCUUCUCUAGAGACCAACACAAAGCUCACAUUCCAGAUCCCACCUUGCUUAAGCUCAUUGCAGCACUAUCAUUUCAGCAUGAACCUCAGGCAACUUCCAACUCUAAAUCAGUACAAGGACAUUUGCCGAGUCCAUCUCGCAAACCACUACCGGGCUCCACAUUUGCUGGGUCACUGGAAGCCCCUUCGUUGUAGCAUUCGGUGGGAACUUGGUCGCAGACUUCGUUUCAAGGAGGAGCAGGGGAGAUCGUUUGCGGCAUUGAACGUUGUGCUCGACUCACCUAUGCCACGUGUUAUGACAUCAUUUGCGGCUCAAAAUAUAGUCACUGUUAGCCACUAGAAAACGGAAUUGUC